GGGUUGUGAGGUUAAGCGACUAAGCGUACACGGUGGAUGCCCUGGCAGUCAGAGGCGAUGAAGGGCGUGCUAAUCUGCGAUAAGCGCCGGUAAGGUGAUAUGAACCGUUAUAACCGGCGAUACCCGAAUGGGGAAACCCAGUGUGACUCGUCACACUAUCAUUAACUGAAUCCAUAGGUUAAUGAGGCG
rnacentral:rRNA from 1 species